AUCUGAUGAGACACCGUCAGAGU
rnacentral:snRNA from 1 species